ACUAACUACUGCACUGACAACUAAUUAUCAAACUACAAUUCCCGGCGGCCGCUUCUCCGCUCAUUCUGCAAUGGGCGGGUAGCUGAGCACGAUGCUCGCGUCGCCUCUUACAGUCAAGGUCAGGACAGGCAGGCAUAGAUUCCAAAGAAUCCACUGGAGUUACACCAAAAAGAAGAUAAGUGGCAUCCAUGGAACGCAUAACCAGGAAAAAAAAAUUCAGAAGACCAUCAGAGAGCAUACAAAUUCAUCUUUAAGGAAAAUUAGGUCCUGAUUGUUUUGUGGUUGCUUAGUUAACUGUAAACAAUACUGACGUGCAUCGCGGGAGUGCGCGAUGACAUCAUCCAUCUGCACCAGAAUCUCGGGCCGGGACUCCCGCGCCCGGCAAUGCAGCCAACCUGUGUUUGUCUGGGCGAUUUGUGAAGGGAUAUAAGGAUGUCUUGAUCAUGUGCUCAUCUGCCAAGGGAGUAAUUAGGGCGAGCACAACGGCAAGCUGCUGCUGCUGCUGGGAGGCAACACCAGGCCCCUUCUCAGGCCCCCUCCCCUUCUGUCUCCCCCUCUCCAGCCCACACCCCCUCUCCAGCCACCUCACCCCCUCUCCAGCCACCUCACCCUCUCCGGCCCACACCCCCUCUCCGCCCACCUCCCCUCUCCGCCCACCUCACCCCUCCGCCCACCUCCCCUCUCCGCCCACCUCACCCUCUCCGACCCAAUCCCCCUCUCCAGCCCAAUCCCCCUCUCCAGCCCAAUCCCCCUCUCCUGCCCACACCCCCUCUCCGGCCACCUCACCCUCUCUGGCCCACACCCCAUCUCCGCCCCACACCCCCUCUCCGCCCCACACCCCCUCUCCAGCCCAAUCCCCCUCUCUUUCCCAAUCCCCCUCUCUUUCCCAAUCCCCCUCUCCAGCCCAAUCCCCCUCUCCAGCCCAAUCCCACUCUCUUUCCCAAUCCCCCUCUCCAGCCCAAUCCCACUCUUUCCCAAUCCCCCUCUCCAGCCCAAUCCCACUCUCCAGCUCAAUCCCACUCUCCCAACCAAUCCCCCUCUCCCGACCAAUCCCCCUCUCCCAACCAAUUACCCUCUCCGGCCCAAUCCCACUCUCUUUCCCAAUUCCCCUCUCUGCCCCCCUCCCCCUCUGUGUCCCAAAAAACCACCCUCACCCUAUCAUUCCCAAACCCCCUCUGUAAGGUCCUCCCCCUUCCAUACUCUUACACAAUUAGACCCUCCUUCCCCCAUCCUGCCUCCUUCCUCCAUCCAGCACCCAUCCCCCAUCUAGCCAACCUCACCCAUCCAGCCUCCAUCCCCCAGCCAGCCACCUUCGCCACCAUGUGAAUGGGCAGCAGAGGCCCGGAGCCACUUGAGGGAGGUGGGCAAGUGGCAGAGGAAAAUGUGGCAGUUGGAGAUCCCAGCAGUUUGCCGGAGAUUGUUUCCCGCCUUAAAGGAAAUCUGAGGGCCGUCAUAGCGGACUUAGAACUUUUGGAUUCAUUUUUUUAAUUUUUUUUUACAUUUUUUAAAAUUUACAUUAGCUUAAAAAAUAACAAAAUAAAAUAAAAUUGAUUUUGAAGUUAA